GAUGAACGCUGGCGGCGUGCCUAAUACAUGCAAGUCGAGCGAACGGACGAGAAGCUUGCUCCUCUGAUGUUAGCGGCGGACGGGUGAGUAACACGUGGAUAACCUACCUAUAAGACUGGGAUAACUUCGGGAAACCGGAGCUAAUACCGGAUAAUAUUUUGAACCGCAUGGUUCAACAGUGAAAGACGGUCUUGCUGUCACUUAUAGAUGGAUCCGCGCUGCAUUAGCUAGUUGGUAAGGUAACGGCUUACCAAGGCAACGAUGCGUAGCCGACCUGAGAGGGUGAUCGGCCACACUGGAACUGAGACACGGUCCAGACUCCUACGGGAGGCAGCAGUAGGGAAUCUUCCGCAAUGGGCGAAAGCCUGACGGAGCAACGCCGCGUGAGUGAUGAAGGUCUUCGGAUCGUAAAACUCUGUUAUUAGGGAAGAACAUAUGUGUAAGUAACUGUGCACAUCUUGACGGUACCUAAUCAGAAAGCCACGGCUAACUACGUG
rnacentral:rRNA from 1 species